rnacentral:rRNA from 1 species
UAGAGGAAGUAAAAGUCGUAACAAGGUUUCCGUAGGUGAACCUGCGGAAGGAUCAUUAAUGAAAUGUUUGUCGAGAAGGGUUGUAGCUGGCCUCCAGGGGCAUGUGCACAUCCUGAUCGCAUCCACAUCCCACACCUGUGCACCGCCUGUAGCUUGGGAUGAUCACGGAGCCCUGAUGGGGUGACGAAUGCCCUCGUCUAUGAAUGCUUUCACACACCCUCAAAGUAUGACAGAAUGUAUAUCAUAUUGCGUCUGAUAAACGUGACAAAUACAACUUUCAACAACGGAUCUCUUGGCUCUCGCAUCGAUGAAGAACGCAGCGAAAUGCGAUAAGUAAUGUGAAUUGCAGAAUUCAGUGAAUCAUCGAAUCUUUGAACGCACCUUGCGCUCCUUGGUAUUCCGAGGAGCAUGCCUGUUUGAGUGUCAUGAAAUUCUCAACUGCCCUUGGGCUUUGUGGCCCUGCGGGGUGAAGUUGGACUUGGAGGUAUGCUGGCGCAUGAAUGGGCUUUGUGGCCCUGUCUUGCUUGUUGGCUCCUCUCGAAUGCAUGAGCUUUCCAAUCCUUGGCAAAGUAUCGUCGAUGUGAUAAUUGUCUACAUCGCCCGAGAAAGCCGAAAAGGGGAAAUCUUUGAUCACGCCAGGGUGAACCUGCGUCUGAAAAAUUCGACCUCAAAUCAGGUAGGACUACCCGCUGAACUUAAGCAUAUCAUAA